rnacentral:rRNA from 1 species
CCUACGGGGGGCAGCAGUGAGGAAUAUUGGUCAAUGGGCGAGAGCCUGAACCAGCCAAGUCGCGUGAGGGAGUACUGCCCUAUGGGUUGUAAACCUCUUUUGUCGGGGAGCAAAAGCCGGACGUGUCCGGCUGUGAGAGUACCCGAAGAAAAAGCAUCGGCUAACUCCGUGCCAGCAGCCGCGGUAAUACGGAGGAUGCGGGCGUUAUCCGGAUUUAUUGGGUUUAAAGGGUGCGCAGGCGGAUUUUUAAGUCAGCGGUAAAAUCGUGGGGCUCAACCCCAUCCAGCCGUUGAAACUGGGGAUCUAGAGUGUGCGAGAGGUAUGCGGAAUGCGUGGUGUAGCGGUGAAAUGCAUAGAUAUCACGCAGAACCCCGAUUGCGAAGGCAGCAUACCGGUGCACAACUGACGCUCAGGCACGAAAGCGUGGGUAUCGAACAGGAUUAGAUACCCGAGUAGUC